rnacentral:lncRNA from 1 species
GAUGCUUAGAAGCUGGGGCAGAUAUGAUAAUGAUUGAUGCUGAUGAUGUCUGCAAAUAUGCUGAUUCUGUACGGGCAGAUGUCAUUGCAAAGGUCAUUGGGCGUCUAGGUCUUGAGAAGACCAUGUUUGAAGCAUCAAGUGCCCAGACCUCUGAGUGGUUUAUCAAGCACUAUGGUCCCAAGGUAUAACGCACUUCUGCUUCUCCUGUUCUCCCACUACUGCAUUAAAUUUUUUUGUAUGUUCAUAGCAUCUUAACCAAUGACCUAUAAAUUUAGGUGAACCUCUUUGUGGAUCAUUCUCAAGUCAUGGAUUUGGAGUGCCUCCGAGGGCGUAACUUGGG